AUGCACACGAUGUUGUGCAGGUGAGAACCUGCGUUCAGGCUCGAGUCGAGCAAAGCGAGACAACAGCGCAUCGCGCUGGCCCGAAGGGCGAGGCCACUGGCCGAGUCAUCCUGCACGACCCACCA
rnacentral:sRNA from 1 species